GGCGGGGGCGGGGGCGGAGGGAGGGCGGUGAGGGCGCGGCCUGGGUCACGUGACGGGAUUUCAGUGUUUACAUUCGGAGCGGGACAAGCCCACGGCUCUGUUCGCCCGCUCGGGUCCCUUUCGGUU
rnacentral:lncRNA from 1 species